UACUCAGUAUGUUCCACAUACUCAGUAAAUUUCAACAUUUAAAUUCUCCCACUAGUAUUCUUAUAUAGGUACUAUUGUUUCCCCCAGUUUACAGACAGAGAAAUAGAGCCUCAGAAAAGUCAGGUCACUUGGCUAAAGCUACACGGCUAACAGUGGAAGAGAAGUUUUAAACCCAAGUCUGGGUUUUCAGAUGCUUUGGGUUCUUUCCCUUUCUCGUGUUUCAGGGCUGGAAUGUUACUUCUGUGAAUGCUAGAAUCCAUUUAAUAUGUGCUUUAGGGAGCGUCUGUGGGGAGAACAGCUUCUAAGAUAACUAUUCCAUGAUCAAAUCAAUUUACAAAACACUACCUGCUUUCUUCUUUGCUUAGGGAAUUCAAUAUGUACCUUAGCAUAUUAAAGGCUUAGUGAGGGUCUGCAGUAAACAAAACCCAGAAAACAUAAUAAAAUUAACCCUCCAAACAAACAAGAUUCCUGAAUAUUGUUAAGUCCAGUGUUUCCCAGGGGGUCUUUGCUAGGACACUUUCUCAAGAAUAGGAAUGCCACCCAAAGUGGUUUAACCAAUUUGGCCACUUAACCAUCUCUCCUAACAAGGAAUCAUAAAUAAAGGACCUUCUGAAGUAGAUAAUUCAAUGGAGCAACAGAACCAGGAAGCACUCAGGAUCUUUCUUCUUUUCAUUCUGCCAGCAUCAAUUUUUUAAUUAUUUUUCAAUUUCAUAUCAUAAAAUCUUCUAUCAAAAUAUGCUUGGAGGGGCCUUCCAGGUGGCGCAGUGUUUAAGUUCGCUUUGGCGGCCUGGCGUUCACUCGUUCAGAUCCCAGAUGCCGACCUCCACACCCCUUGUCAAGCAAGCCAUACUGUGGUAGGCGUCCCACAUAUAAAGUAGAGGAAGAUGGGCACAGAUGUUAGCUCAGGGCCAGUCUUCCUCAGCAAAAAGAGGAGGAAGAUUGGUGGUAGAUGUUAGCUCAGGGCUAAUCUUCCUAAAAAAAAAAAAUGCUUGGAAAUGCUUUUUCCUGACAUGCCAGUUGAUCUAUGUAAUUCUAUAAAGUGGCAUUAAGAGAAAUUUUCCAUUGAAAAAAAUGGGUUUCAUUUAGAUACAUGUCUUAUUUUUCAAACUUUUACUUUUAAUUUGAUGUCUAAUUUCUCGUAAUUCAAGCAAAUACAAAGUUAAUUUU
rnacentral:lncRNA from 1 species